ensembl:lncRNA
GUAGAGUGUCGAAUCCGUCGGCCGCUCUGCCCUCUGUUCCAUGAAGUCUAUUGUUAGGACCGUAAAAAUAAAUUAAAAAAAGGCCUGCGCCUUUUGCAUCACAGGCUCGCGCCGCCUGUUGGAUCACAUUGUUCUGCCGGUGAAUCUCGCCCGUGAGGGAGAAGGAGGGAAAAGCGAUGGAGCAUUUCGUCUGCCGGAGGUGAAAAGAACUCGUCGAGUGACAAGUCGACCCCAGAGGACCAGAGCUCGUGGGACAGCUUCAAGACCAUGACCCCCGAGCUGUCCAUCGUGCCCGGGGAGCAGAAGGAUCGAUUGGAGCUGCACAAUAAGAACUGGGACUCGUCCUCCGCUAACACGCCUGACUCAUCCGAGGGAGACUUCCAGACUGAAGUGUGAAGACACACACACACACACACACGCGCGCGCGUGCACACGCUCGCUACGACACACACGUGCUUGUGCGGAGAGAAACGAUUGAAAAAAAAAAAAAAAGCUAUACAUAGAUACAUGAUUUCUGACAACGCCACUGCUCCUCCUGCAACGUGCCCUGCCGGAUCCCAUACUGUGUUUGUUUACUGGCGGAGCGGACAGGCGCGGAAAGAAGACUGUUCUACCAUAUAUUUUCGCAAAGACUAUUGAAAAGAAAGAACAGGGGCGUGACACGUCUGGGACCGAGGAACAUUUUUAAAUGAACUUAAGAAAACUAUGGAAAAACAAAACAAAACAAAAAAAUAUUUCUGAGAAAAAUGUCUUGAUUUUAUUCUGAAUGAAAAUCUCUUUCAAUUGUUUGAUGAUUUGGGGUGGGGGAAGGAAAAUAAUAUUUCUGCACUGUUACGUUCUUUUUAUAGCAAGAGGGGGGGAA